UAGCAGGCCUCUGUGCGCAUGCUCCGCCCGGGGGGCGCAGACCUCGCCCGUCCUUUCCGGAUUUCGGCUCGGCGUCCGCUCUGCUGCGGGUGCUAAGGUCCUAAGUCAUGGGUGUCGCCGUUCGAGUCAUCUAUUGUGGCGCUUGAGGCUACAAGUCCAAGUAUCUUCAACUCAAGAAGAAGUUAGAAGAUGAGUUCCCUGGACGCCUGGACAUCUGUGGCGAGGGGACUCCCCAGGUCACCGGGUUCUUCGAAGUAUUGGUAGCAGGGAAGUUGGUUCACUCCAAGAAGGGAGGUGAUGGCUACGUGGAUACGGAGAGCAAGUUUCUGAAGCUGGUGGCUGCCAUCAAAGCCGCUUUGGCUCAGGGCUAAUGUGCCCUGAAGACAGAGUCCAGUGACCUUGGCCCAGCUCCUCUCGGCAGACGCUUCAUGACAGGAAGGACUGAAAUGUCUUGUGGACGCCUGGUCCUUCCCUGAUGUUCUCACGGCUGCUGGGCGGGGCAGAGGGGACACCCUUGGUCUUUGCCUGUGUGUGUGGGAGUGUGUGUGUGUCCCCCAGGAAUCUUAACUUUGCACACUGGCUCCAUUCCUUCCUUCCUCCCCCCCCACCCCUGUCUCCCUGCAUUCCCCCAUGCCUCCCUUCCCCUCUUGGGUGUUUGGCGUGAUCCUGCUCCAGGCUUUCUUUUCAAGGAGGAGCCGAGGGAAGGAUCAGGAUGAGUGAAUCUCAGAUUUCAGCAGCGAUUGCACAAUUCAAUAAAUGCUGAUGAGGUUAAGAAAACA